rnacentral:rRNA from 1 species
CAGCAGCCGCGGUAAUACGGAGGGAGCUAGCGUUGUUCGGAAUUACUGGGCGUGAAGCGCACGUAGGCGGUUAUUCAAGUCAGAGGUGAAAGCCCGGGGCUCAACCCCGGAACUGCCUUUGAAACUAGAUGACUGGAAUCUUGGAGAGGUCAGUGGAAUUCCGAGUGUAGAGGUGAAAUUCGUAGAUAUUCGGAAGAACACCAGUGGCGAAGGCGACUGACUGGACAAGUAUUGACGCUGAGGUGCGAAAGCGUGGGGAGCAAACAGGAUUAGAGACCCCGGUAGUCCCUGUCUCUUAUAC